CCUGCCGGACCUGACUGCUAUCGGAUUGAUACUAAGCCAUGCGAGUCUUUGUAGCAAUACAAGGCAGACGGCUCAGUAACACGUAGUCAAUCUACCCUAUGGACGGGGAUAACCUCGGGAAACUGAGAAUAAUACCCGAUAGAUCAUUAUGCCUGGAAUGGUUUAUGGUCGAAAUGAUUUAUCGCCGUAGGAUGGGACUGCGGUCUAUCAGCUUGUUGGUGAGGUAAUGGCCCACCAAGGCUAUAACAGAUACGGGCUCUGAGAGGAGAAGCCCGGAGAUGGGUACUGAGACACGGACCCAGGCCCUAUGGGGCGCAGCAGGCGAGAAAACUUUGCAGUGUGCGAAAGCACGACAAGGUUAAUCCGAGUGUUUUCUGCUAAAGAAAUCUUUUGUCAGUCCUAAAAACACUGAUGAAUAAGGGGUGGGCAAGUUCUGGUGUCAGCCGCCGCGGUAAAACCAGCACCUCAAGUGGUCAGGAGGAUUAUUGGGCCUAAAGCAUCCGUAGCCGGCCGUGUAAGUUUUCGGUUAAAUCUAUACGCUCAACGUAUAGGCUGCCGGGAAUACUGCACAGCUAGGGAGUGGGAGAGGUAGACGGUACUCGGUAGGAAGGGGUAAAAUCCUUUGAUCUAUUGACGACCACCUGUGGCGAAGGCGGUCUACUAGAACACGUCCGACGGUGAGGGAUGAAAGCUGGGGGAGCAAACCGGAUUAGAUACCCGGGUAGUCCCAGCUGUAAACAAUGCAAACUCAGUGAUGCACUGGCUUGUGGCCAGUGCAGUGCCGCAGGGAAGCCGUUAAGUUUGCCGCCUGGGAAGUACGUACGCAAGUAUGAAACUUAAAGGAAUUGGCGGGGGAGCACCACAA
rnacentral:rRNA from 1 species